GGAGUCUGGACCGUGUCUCAGUUCCAAUGUGGGGGACCUUCCUCUCAGAACCCCUACCCAUCGUCGGUUUGGUGGGCCGUUACCCCGCCAACUGCCUAAUGGGACGCGAGCCAAUCCGAUACCGAUAAAUCUAUUAAACAAAGAUCAUGCGGUCUCUGUUGUUACGGAGUAUUACGCGACGUUUCCAUCGACUAUCCUCCAGUAUCGGGCAUGUUGCUCACGCGUUACUCACCCUUUCGCCGGUCGCCGGCAUUGUAUUGCUACAACCCGCUGCCCCUCGACUUGCAUGUGUUAAGCCUGCCGCUAGCGUUCAUC
rnacentral:rRNA from 1 species